UUCUUUGAGUCUUAGAUGAGUGGAAAG
rnacentral:piRNA from 1 species